UACGUAGGUGGCAAGCGUUGUCCGGAAUUACUGGGCGUAAAGGGCGUGUAAGCGGCCUUUUAAGUCAGGCGUGAAAUCCAUGGGCUUAACCCAUGAAUUGCGUUUGAAACUGGAGGGCUUGAGGAUCGGAGAGGGCAGUGGAAUUCCCAGUGUAGCGGUGAAAUGCGUAGAUAUUGGGAGGAACACCAGUGGCGAAGGCGACUGCCUGGACGACACCUGACGCUGAGGCGCGAAAGCUAGGGGAGCAAACGGG
rnacentral:rRNA from 1 species